GCACUGGUGGUUCAGUGGUAGAAUUCUUGCUUUGCAUGUGGGAGACCUGGGUUCAAUUCACAGCCAGUGCA
rnacentral:tRNA from 1 species